AUGAUUAUCUGUGCCUCAACAAUAGGUACACCACAAUUGCUUUCAAAUACUAGUGAAACUAGUACUUACUUCUUCUACUGCUAGUACCACUAGUACCACAAGUACCACAAUUACAACUAUAACAUUCUUCUUUUUUGCGUAUUUAGUUGUUGAUCAGCGGGUGAUAGCAGGUUAAUAGUGUUGAUGGUGAUAUUAACAAAACAUGUCACGGAUUAUGUACUAAAAAAAACAUUAGUGAAUUCAUAUAAUGCCUUAGGAAAACAUUACCUAAUCAAGACCAUAUCUUUUUGUCAAUUUAUCAGCUUGUUUUACAGUAUCUUGGUGAUGAUACAAAUGAUCUUAAAGGACAUCUAUGGAUUUAAUAAAAUGAAUUAAGAUAGCUGAUGAAUUAAGCUAUGAGGUUUGUGUGGCACAGUUUUCUAUCGAUACCCGGAUUUAUGACUUUCCGAAUGUUCCUGAAUGCAUCUAUCAAAUUCCACGUCACAUUCAACGGAUCUCCGUCAAUUUCCUCUGAAGUCUUGACCGGUAAGUACCACUAAGCCCCGGGCUCAUAGUUUGGAUGGUGUAAUGACAGUUAUAUAGUUGUGAAACGGCGUUGCGGUCCGUUUGUAACCCGUGCACUAUUUGUACGCUAAUAAAAGAGUGAAAUAUUCCCUCCGUAUGACAACGCCAACUCGUGGCUAACACUUGCCUAGCCGCUACGUUAGCCACACAUUAGUAUGACGAAGACAAAAAUAUGUAACGUUAACAGUAUUAAGCUAUGUGUUGAACUGGCAUCAACUGGUUAGUUGGGUUACUUAUUUAUCUAACUAUCGUUUCAGUUAAUAUGGCUAGUCUCCGUUAGCCUCUAUGUUUACGUAGUUUAACGUUUAAAAGUCACGGGUUCGUUUGUGUGCCAUAAGGGAAAUAUUUCUAUUUGUGUCAUAGUUUAUUACGAGGAAGGAGGCGAUUUUAAUUCAUUUGCAACAUUGAGGAAAAAGGUGCGAUAGGCUUUACAUUAUUGAAGAUAAAGUACUGCUCAAAACCUUAUUGCUUAUGCUAUGAUGCAGAUACCAGCGAAAUUAUAAAUAGUAAGUAAAUAGCUUCAGCACUAAAUGGUUGUGUAUCGCAUUUCAGUAGCCUAGAGAAAAUAGUCCCCGAAGGUGUAUGUAAACAACAUUGGGUCUCCUUGCAAUAUCUCGCACAUUCUUAUUCAUUCACACCGGUUGCGAAAGCUCGCACUGGCCGAAAUCAUUCGUACUGUUUCCGGUCUUUUUUCUGCGAUCGCCACCGAGCUAAAAAUUGAAAUAUUACCUAACGGUCGCGCAAAAUCUAACGGUAAUCUGUUACUUUGAGUGCGCAGUGAUAUGGAACGCUGGUCUAUGUGAACAAGAACUGUACAGAGCUCAAUAAUGUACACCCCAUGACUCACUCUCAACCAAUUAGAACGCUGAAUCUAUUCUACCCGUUUUAUAAUAUAAUAAUUAAAGUAAAGUUAAUUGGAGAUUGGUUAAAAUAGCAAUGAUUUUAUCAGUUUGAGUUGACUAGUUUGCCAGGCAUUAGUUAUGAGUUAGCUGGUUAGCGUUACUUUGCUCGCUGCCAAACUAGUCAGCCAACUGAUGAAAUAGCCACGUCCGCUCUAACCGUAAUGCUACUUUUAGCAUUACGUAGAAGUUAGCAUGUGGUAACCACGGGACUGUUUCACUCUUCUAUUAACAAAUCCGAUGUCAAUUCCAUUUAAAGUAGUUUGUUGCUUUUGAGAAACAUAAUUAACUAACGUUAGUUUAUCACGUCAACUCAAUAAAUUGACAUUACAUAUUACCAAGCUGGGACAUGUAAAAUGCAAAUCUAUGUAAAACGUCAACUUUAUUGGCUGUGGUAGACUGCUGGAGACCAGUUCAAGCUAAUGCUUGACUUUAUAAGAACAAGUUAAUUUAGUUGAUGCGUUUUUCCGCCAUAUGUUUAUUUACCAGCUGUAUGUAUGUAGUCUAUUUCUUUUAAGGUCAUAAAAACGUUGUCCACAACAACAUUACCUUAAUAUAUGACUGAGAUUGAAUUACACUUCAUUCCUCAUUAUGUCGGUAAUAUGGAACAGCAGUUAUCUACUUCUCUAUGUAUGUAAUAUAUCAUUUUCUAAGGUGUUUUGUUUAAAGGCUGAAAGAUAGAACCUUCUUAAUGUCAGUGUGUCAUAUUGUUUCCUCUCUUAGACAACAGAGCAUCCUCCUUAUCUGCAUUGUGUGUGAACGGAAGACUAUUGCGGCUGGUGACUCUUUGGUGACUCUAAAGUGUGUCCUGUUGUCCAGCAUCUCUCCUCUAUCCCAUUGGCUCUCUGUCUAUCCUAUACCUUGUAUCCACUCUGUCUACAAUAUGAUUACUCUAGCUUUCCUGUCAAAUCUACCUCUCUGUCUUUGAUUUUGGAAACUCUAUCUUUGUAUCCCUCUUCUAUCCCACUCUAUCUGUAUACUGAACUGAUAUUUUGAAACCUGAAUUUUGAAACCUGAAUUUUGAAACCUGAACUCUGAAACCCAAUUUUUGGUUGCCUAAGGUCAUUGAUACCUGUCUGUCUGAACAGAACUCUGAGAGUCUCCACUCUCACGCUCUCUGUCUCUCCUCUGAAUACUCUCACCCGGGUUAUUGGUACCUGAUCUACCUUUUUGAAUGAUCUGAGAGAUUCUCUUCUCUCACUCUCACCUCUUUCCAUCUCCUAUCAACUCAUAUAUUUAUACAACGCUAUUACUCUUUUUACUAAUUUGACAAAGCAUUUGAAAUUUACUAUUAAUGAGAUUAACAAAAUUGGCCUAAAGAAAGAAUUGAAAAGUUAAUUCAGAAGCUAAAAAAACACAAGCACAAAUAUUUUUGUUGUAAUUGAACUACACUUUGAUACAAAGAAUUGGAUAAUUGGAUUGUGAAAAGAAAUUACACUUUAUAAUCUAGUCUGGUAGAUUUCCUGAUAUACUAUUUACAAAAGUGCAAGGAAUAAACAUAAUUUAAGACAACUGCACUCUGGUCAAUAUACAUAGGAACUAUUACAAAUCCAUAUUACAGAGAAGCGUUAUUUGCUCCUGAUCUCUGUUGCUGUGGACUUCUGUUGGUUUGUACUUAAGAGGUUUUCUUGGUGAACCGAUAUAUUUUCACACUUAACACUGUUGUUAACUUGAUUGGUCUACGUACAAGGAAACCUCAUACUGCUACAUGCAUUAUACCUAAUUAAACAUAUUUUUCUUAUAAACUUA